rnacentral:rRNA from 1 species
UACGUAGGGGGCAAGCGUUGUCCGGAAUCAUUGGGCGUAAAGCGUGUGUAGGCGGUUCGAUAAGUCUGCUGUGAAAGUCCAGGGCUCAACCCUGGGAUGCCGGUGGAUACUGUCGGACUAGAGUACGGAAGAGGCGAGUGGAAUUCCCGGUGUAGCGGUGAAAUGCGCAGAUAUCGGGAGGAACACCAAUUGCGAAGGCAGCUCGCUGGGACGUCACUGACGCUGAGACGCGAAAGCGUGGGGAGCAAACAGG